UUUUAUAGUUAUUGUGUUGUUUAACUUUCUUAUAAAAGAGAGUGAGGAAUUAAAAAGGUGGCCACCGAACAGAAAGUUAAACUGCAAUAUAUUAUAAUCAUUUUAGUUCUUGUUUACAUUUUUAACUGAUAAUUUAUUAGUGAUAAAUUAUGAAUAUAAAAUUUCAAAUUAAUUUAAAUUCAAAAAUAAAAGAACACCAACAUAGAUUUCUUAAACAUUAAAAUUUUACUAUAAGUUUAAAUUACAUUUAAUCAGCACAUUAGUUGAAGUUUUAUAGGAACCGAACAUUUGGCUGGAUCAUGGACUACCCACCGACGGAGAAUUUGUCACAAAGCUGAUGGGAAAUGUGUCGGCACUCGGAUUCGUUUCAACCCGGAGGAAGAUUUGCAGCAUCAAAAAGAAAUUCAACUGAUAAUCAACCGUCAAAAGGUGAAGAAGAAGUUGUCACAAAGCUGAUGGGAAAUGUGUCGGCACUCGGAUUCGUUUCAACCCGGAGGAAGAUUUGCAGCAUCAAAAAGAAAUUCAACUGAUAAUCAACCGUCAAAAGGUGAAGAAGAAGUUGUCACAAAGCUGAUGGGAAAUGUGUCGGCACUCGGAUUCGUUUCAACCCGGAGGAAGAUUUGCAGCAUCAAAAAGAAAUUCAACUGAUAAUCAACCGUCAAAAGGUGAAGAAGAAGUUGUCACAAAGCUGAUGGGAAAUGUGUCGGCACUCGGCUUCGUUUCAACCCGGAGGAAGAUUGGCAGCAUCAAUAAGAAGCUCAUCUUAAUUUAGUUGUCCCCCCUUUACGCAUUAGCGCUCAUCUCUCAUCCACUCAUCCAACACAUUGACUAUCGCCGGCCGGCAACACACACAUAUUAUACACAUUACCCGUUUUAUAUUGUAUAAAAUUAUUAAUAUCUACAUAGUUUAAGUUAUUGUAUAUUUUUUUUUUAUUAUUUGAAUGCAUUCAUAUGAUCUGUGGCGUAUUUAGGAAUUUUAGGAUAAGGGCAACACAUAUUUUGCCGCCUCCCCUCUAUUAAAAAAAAUUAAAAAACUUCUAUGCCACGCAAUGGUGAAACUGAUAAUACCAUAGAAUACCAUGUUAUAUAAAUACUAUAGUAUUUUAUACCUCCAUGGCACACAUUUGUUGUGAAAAAUAUUUAUGAUUGACGUCACUGCGACAGUACUCAUAAAGUACGAAAUUAAAAUUUGCUGCCCCUCUAAAUCUUUAAAAAUUUGCCGUUCUGGACAACUGGACCCAAAGCCCCUACCUAAAUACGCCCCUGCAUAUAAUGCGUUCGAUGUGGAUUAGGCCUACUGGGGACACCACAAUAAAAAAACGCGCCUUGUGUAAUACCUCAUAAGGUUAUUAAACAAUACGGACAAUGUUAUUGUACGUCGUUUAAUAAUAAAGGUGGUGUGGAAAAUUA